rnacentral:rRNA from 1 species
UAAGACGAACCGUGCGAACGUUGUUCGGAAUCACUGGGCUUAAAGGGCGCGUAGGCGGGUCGGCCAGUCUGUGGUGAAAUCCCCCGGCUUAACCGGGGAAUUGCCGUGGAUACUGCCGGUCUCGAGGAGGGUAGGGGCAUCUGGAACGAGCGGUGGAGCGGUGAAAUGCGUUGAUAUCGCUCGGAACUCCGGUGGCGAAGGCGAGGUGCUGGACCCUUUCUGACGCUGAGGCGCGAAAGCCAGGGGAGCAAACGGGAUUAGAUACCCCGGUAGUCCUGGCCCUAAACUAUGAGGACUAGAUAGCGGACCGGACAUGGGUUCGCUGUCGGAGCAAAAGUGUUAAGUCCUCCGCCUGGGGAGUAUGGUCGCAAGGCUG